rnacentral:rRNA from 1 species
AUGGAGUGGAAGAUCUCUAGGAAGAAGAAAGAGGCGAGCACGACGGACGCUCCGGCGGAGGCGGCCGCCUUCCUGACGGACGACCUUAUCUUGGAGAUCCUCUCCCGCCUCCCCGCCAGGUCCGUCCACCGCUUCAAGUGCGUCUCCCCGUCCUGGCGCGACCUCAUUGCCGACCCCGUCAACCGCAAGAAACUGCCCCACACCCUCGCCGGCUUCCUCUACAGCACCUACGACAGGGUAGGCCCCCGCUUCAAUUACUUUCGGUUCGCAGACUUCUCCAUCGGCGCAGCCCUGCCGGUCGACAUGUCCCUCCCUUUCUUGCCACCCAACAAGUACCUGCACGUCCUGGACACUUGCAAUGGGCUCCUCCUCUGCCUCUGCUCCAUGGCCCCUUCUUCUCCAUCAACGGAUGAGAAAGCGCCGGUUGAACUCCAUGCCCAUUUCGUCGUAUGCAACCCGGCCACCCGGAGGUGGGUCGCCCUGCCGCCUGGCUCACUGGCUCCAGACGAACCUCUCACCCUGGCUCGUUUGGCUUUUGAUCCAGCAGUCUCGUCACAUUUCCACGUUCUUCAGUUUAAGGGGGCCCGUUGGGGGGGAUGCAUCACAGGAGUGAGCAUCUACUCUUCGAAAUCUGGAGCUUGGAUUCGUAGAGAAAGCCUCUUGGUUGAAAAAAUUCUUCUGAAAUGUGGCGCUACAAGUGUCUUCUUUCAUGGAAUGCUGCACUUGCUUGGUUGGCUGUGCCCCCUUAACGUGAACGACGAUUUUGUGCUGGUAGCAGUGGACAUGGAGGGGAAGGUGUGGAAGACUAACCGUGUCCCGUCCGAUGGUUUGGCUUGUGGUAGAAUUGGUUUAUCACAGGGGUGCUUGCACUACUUUUCGAUGCCCAGGAUCAAGAAGAAAAAGGAGAACACCAAGGUAGCAUCAGUCUGGUUCAUGGAGGAUUAUGAUAGUAAAGAAUGGGUCUUGAAGAAUAGUGUCAGCAAUGAUGAGUUGCGGAACAUAAAUGGGGUGGAUUACAAGGUGGCUGCUUUUCAUCCAGACUGUGACACCAUUUUUCUGGAAGCACAUUGGACCCUUCCCCGGACCCUGCGCAAGCGGGAGCUACAUGCACUGGGCUGCCCAUGUGAUGUCGAUGCAUUGGCAUCAUACGAUACUCUGCUACACACACGACGGUUGUGGACGAUCUCCGCACGAUGA